UGGGAACGUACCUUUUGGUUCGGAACAACCCAGGGAAACUUGGGCUAAUACCGGAUAAGUCCGUAAGGAGAAAGAUUUAUCGCCAAGAGAUCGGCCCGCGUCUGAUUAGCUAGUUGGUGAGGUAACGGCUCACCAAGGCAACGGUGCGUAGCCGACCUGAGAGGGUGAUCGGGCCACAUUGGAACUGAGACACGGUCCAGACUCCUACGGGAGGCAG
rnacentral:rRNA from 1 species